rnacentral:rRNA from 1 species
UACAGAGGGUGCGAGCGUUAAUCGGAAUUACUGGGCGUAAAGCGCGCGUAGGCGGCUUUGCAAGUCGGGUGUGAAAUCCCCAGGCUUAACCUGGGAACUGCAUUCGAGACUGCAUUGCUAGAGUAUGGGAGAGGGAAGUGGAAUUUCCGGUGUAGUGGUGAAAUGCGUAGAUAUCGUGAGGAACACCAGAGGCGAAGGCGGCUACCUGGACAAUUGCUGACGCUCAGGCACGAAAGCGUGGGGAGCAAAAGGG